UGCAGUCGGACGGGAUUGAGGAGCUUGCUUCUCAUGAGAGUGGCGCACGGGUGCGUAACACGUAUGUAACCUACCUUGUUCAGGGGGAUAGCCUCUCGAAAGAGAGAUUAACACCGCAUAAAAUCAAUUUAUGGCAUCAUAGAAUGAUCAAAUAUUUAUAGGAACAAGAUGGGCAUGCGGAACAUUAGCUAGUUGGUAAGGUAACGGCUUACCAAGGCUACGAUGUUUAGGGGAUCUGAGAGGAUGACCCCCCACACUGGUACUGAGACACGGACCAGACUCCUACGGGAGGCAGCAGUAAGGAAUAUUGGUCAAUGGACGCAAGUCUGAACCAGCCAUGCCGCGUGCAGGAAGACGGCCCUACGGGUUGUAAACUGCUUUUGUACCGGAAUAAACCUUUUCACGUGUGAGAAGCUGAAUGUACGGUAAGAAUAAGGAUCGGCUAACUCCGUGCCAGCAGCCGCGGUAAUACGGAGGAUCCAAGCGUUAUCCGGAUUUAUUGGGUUUAAAGGGUGCGUAGGUGGCCUAUUAAGUCAGGGGUGAAAGACGGUAGCUUAACUAUCGCAGUGCCUUUGAUACUGAUGGGCUUGAAUACACUUGAGGUAGGCGGAAUGUGACAAGUAGCGGUGAAAUGCAUAGAUAUGUCACAGAACACCAAUUGCGAAGGCAGCUUACUAAAGUGUUAUUGACACUGAGGCACGAAAGCGU
rnacentral:rRNA from 1 species